CUCGAUUUUUGUCGUCACGACUCUGACUGUGUAUUAGCUAAAUGUGCAGUCCCGACUCUUCAUCAACCAACUGAGCAAACCUCACCAACUUAUGAUCGGCUAACCGACUAAUGUUCGACUACUACCGACCAACAACAGAUGACUGAAAAAGUCGGCGUAACAGAACUACUAGCUGACGGACACUCAUAGAUCCUACCGACAUAUGGUCGGUAAUCU
rnacentral:lncRNA from 1 species